rnacentral:rRNA from 1 species
CGGUUGAUCCUGCCGGACCCGACUGCUAUUUGGGUGAGGAUAAGCCAUGCGAGUCGAAUGGGAAACCUAAAUUUCCCAUGGCGAACUGCUCAAUAACACAUGAUCAACUUGCCCUAUAGAGAAAAAUAACCUCGGGAAACUGAGGAUAAUUUUUCAUAGUUGAAAAGGCUUGGAAAAGUUUUUCGACAAAAAGGAUAAAAAAAAUGGUUUUUAUCCGCUAUAGGAUAGGAUCGUGUUCGAUUAUGGUCGUUGGUGAGGUAACGGCUCACCAAGCCGAUAAUCGAUAGGGGCCGUGAGAGCGGGAGCCCCGAGAUGGGUACUGAGACAGCGACCCAGGCCUUACGAGGCGCAGCAGGCGCGGAACCUCCGCAAUACACGAAAGUGUGACGGGGUUACCCAAAGUGUUCAUUUAUGAACUGUGGUAGGUGAGUAAUGUCCCCUACUAGAAAGGAGAGGGCAAGGCUGGUGCCAGCCGCCGCGGUAAAACCAGCUCUUCAAGUGGUCGGGAUAAUUAUUGGGCUUAAAGUGUCCGUAGCCGGUUUAGUAAGUUCCUGGUAAAAUCAGGUAGCCUAACUAUCUGCAUGCUAGGAAUACUACUAUACUAGAGGGCGGGAGAGGUCUGAGGUACUACAGGGGUAGGGGUGAAAUCUUAUAAUCCUUGUAGGACCACCAGUGGCGAAGGCGUCAGACUGGAACGCGCCUGACGGUGAGGGACGAAAGCCAGGGGAGCGAACCGGAUUAGAUACCCGGGUAGUCCUGGCCGUAAACGAUGCAUACUAGGUGAUGGCACGGCCAUGAGCCGUGUCAGUGCCGUAGGGAAACCGUUAAGUGUGCCGCCUGGGAAGUACGGUCGCAGGCUAACUUAAAGGAAUUGGCGGGGGAGCAC